ensembl:lncRNA
AGGACAUUACACCUCCACGCCAGCAGAGGUCGCCUGAAGAAUUUCCUUGCAGACUUACAACUUCCUGUUAACUUCCUGGUUUAGCAUAUAUAAGUAUAGAUAUAGCUAUCUAGAUGGAGAAUUGAUUGCAUUGCUGCCAUUUUGAAGAGGUGUUUGGAGCAGUGUUUGGAGCAGUGUUUGGAGCAUGGCGAGGUGUUUUGGAGCAGCAUUCAGUGGACCCCAUUCAACACCAAACAACAAGGCAUUGCUUCUCAUAAGUGAAGACGCAGCAGGCUUGAAGAAGCACGCCGCUGGAAUUCUGCACAGGAUGAACGCUGGCAGUACAGACCUACGUGUGAUGUAGAUCAGUGUAACUGCUUUAGAAGUCCAGCAUCAGUGCUUUCUCAUCGAUACCUUCGAUCAACUUCCUGCUGCUAGAACUGGUGCGGAGAACCAUGGAGAACGUCUAAUCUAAUCUGAAAUCAAAUUGCAGUGCUUCAGGAAGACGCUGGACUCAAUGAGAACUCGGUACUUGGAAUGUGGAUAUUAUUAUUAUUAUUAUUAGUAGUAGUAGUAGUAGUAGUAGUUUCAUUAUUGUUAUUUUUCUUAUGUAUAUAUAAUAUGUCUAUUUCAUUUAUUUAACUUAUGUGUAUUUAUA